UUACACACAGACACAGACACAGACACAGACACAGACACACAGUGUGUGUGUGUGUGUGUGUGUGUGUGUGUGUGUGUGUGUAA